GAAACAUCAUUCCUGGAUACAAUUUCAUUGCAGCAAGUUUGGACGGCUGGUAAAUAUAUCGGCUGCCUCAUCCACAAAGAGGUGCUGGAAGAAAAAAAACACUGACUCCUGUUUUCAACUUUCUCUGUCUUUAUUAAUAUCUACAAGAAGAAUGUUUCAGCUUGGAAGCCAGCUGGCCCAGUUUCACUUCUCCACAGGACCCAGUACUGCUAGUGCAGGUGCCACAGGAGACAGUACACAGCCUACCCUAACAGUACAGGACUUUAUCCAACGUGUCAGGAAACUUGGCGGACUGAAAAAGAGAACAUUUUCUGCGACCUACGAGUCCCGACCCAGUUUCAAACCACCAAGGCAGACGACAUCGACCUCGUCAUCCUCACAGGUCACGGGGUGUUCUGCAUCGACGUGAAGCCUUGGAGAGGAACGGUGUCUUCCCAAAGGCAGCAAUGGCACGUCCAGCUUAAAGAACAGUACCACAACUUUACCAACACCUCCAUAGAACAGGUGGCUGACCCCCUUGAGGCCGUCAUGACCAAGACAACUAACCUGUGGCAGUACCUGAGGAGGAGCGGCCUGUCGGUGCGUCAGGAGCUCUUCCUACCCAGGCUAGUCUUCCUCGCCCCAGACUGCCAGCUGGAUGAAGAGUUGAGGAAGAGGAGGGAGCUGGUCUCCCACAGUCAAAUA